rnacentral:rRNA from 1 species
UACGUAGGGUGCAAGCGUUAUCCGGAUUUAUUGGGUUUAAAGGGUGCGUAGGCGGACUGUCAAGUCAGCGGUAAAAUUGAGAGGCUCAACCUCUUCCCGCCGUUGAAACUGGUGGUCUUGAGUGGAUGAGAAGUACGCGGAAUGCGUGGUGUAGCGGUGAAAUGCAUAGAUAUCACGCAGAACUCCGAUUGCGAAGGCAGCGUACCGGCAUCCAACUGACGCUGAGGCACGAAAGCGUGGGGAUCAAACAGG